rnacentral:rRNA from 1 species
AUUGAACGCUGGCGGCAGGCCUAACACAUGCAAGUCGAGCGGAUGACGGGAGCUUGCUCCUUGAUUCAGCGGCGGACGGGUGAGUAAUGCCUAGGAAUCUGCCUGGUAGUGGGGGACAACGUUUCGAAAGGAACGCUAAUACCGCAUACGUCCUACGGGAGAAAGCAGGGGACCUUCGGGCCUUGCGCUAUCAGAUGAGCCUAGGUCGGAUUAGCCAGUUGGUGGGGUAAUGGCUCACCAAGGCGACGAUCCGUAACUGGUCUGAGAGGAUGAUCAGUCAGACUGGAACUGAGACACGGUCCAGACUCCUACGGGAGGCAGCAGUGUGGAAUAUUGGACAAUGGGCGAAAGCCUGAUCCAGCCAUGCCGCGUGUGUGAAGAAGGUCUUCGGAUUGUAAAGCACUUUAAGUUGGGAGGAAGGGCAGUAAGCUAAUACCUUGCUGUUUUGACGUUACCGACAGAAUAAGCACCGGCUAACUCUGUGCCAGCAGCCGCCGCCG